UAAUUUUAUAUUUAUUAAUAUUUUUAGAUUUAAUAAAUUUUAAUAAAAAUAAUUUUAAAAUUUAAAGUUUUUGUAUAAUUUAUAAAAAAAAUAAUUUUAAUUAUAGUAAAAUAGUAUAGUAAUAUAAUAUUAAAUAUUAAUAAUUUUUUAUAAGUAAAUUUAAUUUAUUGUACCUUUUGUAUCAGGGUUUAUUAAUUAAUUAUUUAUUGAUAAAUAAAUAUCUCGAAUUUAAAUGAGUUAAAAUUUUAUUAAAGUUAAUGUAUUAAAUUUAUUUUAAAUAAAAUUUUAGUAAUUAAAAGUUAAUCGUAUUUAAAUAUAUCUAGUUUUUUAAGAAAUGAAUUUAAUUCAUAUUUUAUUUUGAUAAAUUUUAUUUAUAUUAAAAAAUUUAUAAAAUAAAAUAAAUAUUUUAAGGGAUAAGCUUUAAAGUAUUAACUAUAAUUUAUUUUAUUAAUUAAAAAAAAAUAAUAGAAUUAGAAAUUUUUAUUAAUAAUUAAAAUGUUAUAAUUAAUUUAUUAUAAAUUUAAUUUAUAUAUUUAUUUAGGUUAUAUAUUAAAAUUUUUUAAAAAAUAAUUAUUUAUAAGUAAUAAUGAUAAAAUUAGUAUUAAUAAAUUAAUUAUAAUUAUAAUUAAAUAUUAAUAUAAUAGUAAUUAAGAUUAAAUUAAGGAAUUCAGCAAAAUAAAUAUUUACCUGUUUAACAAAAACAUGUCUUUUUGAGUUUAAUUUAAAGUCUGACCUGCCCACUGAUAUUUUUUUUUGAAGGGCCGCGGUAUAUUGACUGUGCAAAGGUAGCAUAAUCAUUUGUCUUUUAAUUGAAGGCUAGAAUGAAUGGUUUGAUAAAAUAUUAACUGUCUCAAUUUAAUAAUAAUAAUAAUUUAAUUUUUAAGUUAAAAAGCUUAAAUAUUUUUAAAAGACGAGAAGACCCUAUAGAUCUUUAUUAUUUUAUUUAAUUAAAUAUAUAGAAAUAUAAUAAUUAAGUUUUAUAAAAUAAUUUUAUUGGGGUGAUAAGAAAAUUUAAUUAACUUUUUUUAUAUUUUAAACAAUAAUAUUUGUUAAUAUUUGAUCCAUUUUUAUUGAUUAUAAGUUUAAGUUACCUUAGGGAUAACAGCAUAAUUUUUUUAGAGAGUUCUUAUCGAUAAAAAAGAUUGUGACCUCGAUGUUGAAUUAAGAAUUAUUUUAGGUGCAAAAGUUUAAAUUAUAGGUCUGUUCGACCUUUAAAUUCUUACAUGAUUUGAGUUCAGACCGGCGUAAGCCAGGUCGGUUUCUAUCUUUAAAAUUAUAGUAUAUUUUAGUACGAAAGGACCAAAUAUUAAAAAUAUUUUUUUAUUAUUGAAUUAUAUUAAUAUAAAUAA
rnacentral:rRNA from 1 species